CCAGAGGCUCCCGCCAAACAAAUUUGUGCUGACAGCCCUUUUCUCUUUGCUCUUUCAAAGACAAUCUCUACUUGCAUAAAAUGCUGCAGCCAGAAUGGAUCAACUUUCCUCCGCACCUGGAAUGAAAGCAAGCCUUCUGAUAAAUGACUGAACCUCUGAAGAGGAUCAUACAGCGAUUUGCAAAAGAAAAUUGACAAUACGAACCGAGUCUCCACGGAUGUCCCUCCGCCGGAGCUGAACCAAUGCACGGAUACUUAUGUCAUCAUGGGGAAAAAAAGAAGGCUAACACAGAUCAGAAGAAAAAUGGUGUGGAAAAACAAAAACAAUGAUUGGACAUGGAAAGCUGAUUAUGGUUUUGUGGUAGUAGAGUAUUACAUGUCAAUAAUCCAUGUUCUCUCCCUUCCCCACUCCUCUCCUUCCCAGAAUACAGAUUUUUACCUGGUCCCCCUUGUGGCUGAUGCUAUUAAAAAUCUACAAACUAGAGGGAGCUGUGUAAUCUGUAGCUAUGCCAAAACCUUACUCUCCUCCCACCUACCCCAUCAACAUUGAAGAGCAACAGCCAGAUGCCAUUAGAAGAGGAGAGCUAGCAAGCAUCCUUCCAGUAUUAGUCACAGG
rnacentral:lncRNA from 1 species